UACGUAGGGUGCGAGCGUUGUCCGGAAUUACUGGGCGUAAAGAGCUCGUAGGUGGUUUGUCGCGUUGUUCGUGAAAACUCACAGCUCAACUGUGGGCGUGCGGGCGAUACGGGCAGACUGGAGUACUGCAGGGGAGACUGGAAUUCCUGGUGUAGCGGUGGAAUGCGCAGAUAUCAGGAGGAACACCGGUGGCGAAGGCGGCCAGCUGGGCUACACCUGACACUGAGACGCGAAGGCGUGGGGAGCGAACGGG
rnacentral:rRNA from 1 species